UACGGGGGGGGCAAGCGUUGUUCGGAAUUACUGGGCGUAAAGGGCUCGUAGGCGGCCAACUAAGUCAGACGUGAAAUCCCUCGGCUUAACCGGGGAACUGCGUCUGAUACUGGAUGGCUUGAGAUUGGGAGAGGGAUGCGGAAUUCCAGGUGUAGCGGUGAAAUGCGUAGAUAUCUGGAGGAACACCGGUGGCGAAGGCGG
rnacentral:rRNA from 1 species